rfam:Blastomyces gilchristii SLH14081 genomic scaffold supercont1.2, whole genome shotgun sequence.
GGACCCGUGGCCCAAUUGGCAAGGCGUUUGACUACGAUUUAAACAUACCUUGAUCAUCAAAAGAUUGUGGGUUCGAAUCCCACCGGGUUCA